UACGUAGGGGCAAGCGUUGUCCGGAUUUAUUGGGCAUAAAGAGCGUGUAGGCGGUCAGGUAGGCUCCGUUGUGAAACGUCGAGGCUCAACCUCGAGACGCCGAUGGAAACCAUCUGACUAGAGUCCGGAAAGAGGAGGAGUGGAAUUCCUGGUGUAAGCGGUGAAAUGCGCAGAUAUCAGGAGGAACACCGGUGGCGAAGGCGGGUCUCUGGGCAACACUGACGCUGAGGAGCGAAGCGUGGGGAGCGAACAGG
rnacentral:rRNA from 1 species